GGGAAGGAAUAAUGGCUUUAACAUGUAUGUCACCAGGGAGAGAUGGUGGUUGUCCCCACCUAGCGAAACUACGCGACCAACUGUGUGUGGACGCCUGCCCGUCGAACAUGUCACUCCAUAAUCAUGGGUGUUAAUAUGGAGUUGGCCCCCCCUCGCUGCUAUAACAGCCUCCGCUCUGCUGGGAAGGAUUUCCACUAGAUGUUGGAACAUUGCUGCUAUAACAGCCUCCGCUCUGCUGGGAAGGCUUUCCACUAGAUGUAGGAACAUUGCUGCUAUAACAGCCUCCACUCUGCUGGGAAGGCUUUCCACUAGAUGUUGGAACAUUGCUGCUAUAACAGCCUCCGCUCUGCUGGGAAGGCUUUCCACUAGAUGUUGGUAUAUUGCUGCUAUAACAGCCUCCACUCUUCUGGGAAGGCUUUCCACUAGAUGUUGGUACAUUGCUGCUAUAACAGCCUCCACUCUUCUGGGAAGGCUUUCCACUAGAUGUUGGAACAUUGCUGCUAUAACAGCCUCCGCUCUGCUGGGAAGGCUUUCCACUAGAUGUUGGUAUAUUGCUGCUAUAACAGCCUCCACUCUUCUGGGAAGGCUUUCCACUAGAUGUUGGUACAUUGCUGCUAUAACAGCCUCCACUCUUCUGGGAAGGCUUUCCACUAGAUGUUGGAACAUUGCUGCUAUAACAGCCUCCACUCUUCUGGGAAGGCUUUCCACUAGAUGUUGGAACAUUGCUGCUAUAACAGCCUCCACUCUUCUGGGAAGGCUUUCCACUAGAUGUUGGAACAUUGCUGCGGGGACUUGCCUCAAUUCAGCCAGAAGAGCAUUAGUGUGGUUGGGCACUGAUGUUGGGCGAUUAGGCCUGGUUCGCAGAAUGGCUUAUUUUAGAGCUCAGUAAAAAUCGUGUCCUUGGUUGCAACACUCACUAACGAGUUCCAAACUGCCUCUGGAAGAAACGUCAGCACAAGAACUGUUCGUCGGGAGCUUCAUGAAACAGGUUUCCAUGGCCGAGCAGCCAUGGAAUCCCAUAUGUGGAAGAACUUGACUGGCCUGCACAGAGCCCUGACCUCAACCCCAUCGAACACCUUUGGGAAUCAAUUGGAACGCUGACAGAGCCAGGCCUAAUCGCUCAACAUCGGUGCCGAUGUUAUAUAUAUAUAUAUUUUUUUUUUAAGGUACGGUGAUACGCUUCAAACGACUAUUUCUCGCAAACUUCUCUGUAGGAACACGCUCCUAUGAUGGUAAACAUCCCAAACCUCUAAAAAUGCAAUAUCCCUACUGGUCAAUUCCUUAGACCAGUGGUCACCAACCGGUUGAUCGCAAUAAGACUAGUCGAUCUUCAAGGCAUUCCUAGCAGAUCACCAAGUGUUUCUGUAGAAAAGCCAACGAAAGGAUUUCGCUCCUAUUUUUUGGUUUUAUUAGUCUCACGCUGUUGGAAGUGGGUGCACUUGAUUCACAAGCCCUGUCGGCGAGAGGCGGGUGCACUUGAUUCACAAGUCCCGUCGGCGAGAGGCGGGUGCACUUGAUUCACAAGCCCCGUCGGCGAGAGGCGGGUGCACUUGAUUCAGAAGCCCUGUCGGCGAGAGGCGGGUGCACUUGAUUCAGAAGCCCUGUCGGCGAGAGGCGGGUGCACUUGAUUCAGAAGCCCUGUCGGGCGAGAGGCGGGUGCACUUGAUUCAGAAGCCCUGUCGGUCGAGAGGCGGGUGCACUUGAUUCAGAAGCCCUGUCGGCGAGAGGCGGAUGCACUUGAUUCAGAAGCCCUG